CACGUAGGGCGCAAGCGUUGUCCGGAAUUAUUGGGCGUAAAGAGCUCGUAGGCGGUCUGUUGCGUCCGCUGUGAAAACUCGGGGCUUAACCCCGAGCCUGCAGUGGAUACGGGCAGACUAGAGGUAGGUAGGGGUGACUGGAAUUCCUGGUGUAGCGGUGGAAUGCGCAGAUAUCAGGAGGAACACCGAUGGCGAAGGCAGGUCACUGGGCCGCAACUGACGCUGGAGGAGCGAAAGCAUGGGGAGCGAACAGG
rnacentral:rRNA from 1 species